rnacentral:rRNA from 1 species
UACGUAGGGGGCUAGCGUUGUCCGGAUUUAUUGGGCGUAAAGAGCGCGUAAGCGGCCGAGUAAGUCCGACGUGAAAUCUGGAGGCUCAACCUCCAGCGGUCGUUGGAAACUACUCGGCUAGAGUCCGGAAGAGGAGAGUGGAAUUCCUGGUGUAGCGGUGAAAUGCGCAGAUAUCAGGAAGAACACCGAUGGCGAAAGCAGCUCUCUGGGACGGUACUGACGCUGAGGCGCGAAAGCGUGGGGAGCGAACAGG